ACUGCCCCCCCCUCUAGAUAACGAUAAGACCAAGGUCCCUCCCGGUUGUUUAGUCGUCUUGUCUACGUCAUUUUUUUACCUAGGGAAUUGAGAAUCCUGGUUUCUGACUACCUAGGUAAAUGAGAAUCCUGGUUUCUGACCCCCUAGGUAACUAGAAACUCUGGGUUUUUGUUUCCUGGGUUGUUGGAAAUGCCUGGGUUCUGAUUUUAUGUGUAAAUUAAAACCCCUGGUUUCAAUUCUAUGGGUAAGUGAAAUAGGCCUUUUCUGGAAACCUAUGGGUUAUCUAGUGUGUAAAUACAGUAUAAAUACUGGAGCUUAAGCUCAGGGUAGGGGGAUCACUUCUGAGAAUUCUCAUCGGUGUGGAUCUCGUGUGGUGGAAUGGAACAAUAAAGCUGGACCCUUGCUUCUUCUCA